CUAACGGCUGAACCAGCAACUUGGAGGAAUGUAUAGCUACGGCUAAUUGUGUAUAGUACACGAUAUCGACUCUGUCGAAUAAAAUUCUGGGUAAAUUAUGAUGAUGACAUUUUUUACCCAUGUGUCUUGACCAAAUUGUGUGCCAGCAGUCGCGGUAAUACAUAGAAGACUAGUGUUAUUCAUCUUUAAUAGGUUUAAAGAGUACCUAGACGGUAAAUCAAGCCCUAGACGGGACUAAUUUGCUAGAGUUACUUAUGAGGGGGCUUUAAAGUACUAAUGGUGUAGAGAUAAAAUUUUGUAAUACCAUUUUUCGUAAAGAAAAGUUAUGGCACUGGUAAAGGUGAAAGCAUCCCCCUAUGUGA
rnacentral:rRNA from 1 species